GGGGCUCCUAGAACCCACUCUCCCCAAAGGCGAGUUUCCCAGAGGAAAUGACAUUUGAAGAGAGACUAAAGGAUGAGAAAAAGACAGCCUUCCUGGAAGAGGAAACAGCAAAUGCAAAAACUCUGAGUUAGGAAAGAACUUGAUGCACUUGAGAAACAAAAAGAAGGCCGGCAAGACUGAAAUCCACAUAAGUCAGACCCGGGCACAGCAAACUGGACGUCCUCAGUAUAUAUGUGGCAACUGAAACCAGGCAUUUAGGACAUGAUCUCAUUCUGUUGCCCAGGGUGAGUGCAGUGGCACCUUCAUGGCUCAUUGCAGUCUCGAUCUCCCAGGCUCAAGCGAUCCUCCCACCUCAGCCUCCCAAAGUGCUGGGAUUGCAGGCGUGAGCCACCUUGCCCAGCCCAUUCUGCAAUCUUCGGAAGGAAGUCACUAUAUGCAGCCUAUGCUUGAGGAGUGGGGAGUUGAAUUCCACAUCCUUGAGGGCAGAAUACCUAAAUAAAUUAUUUGGAAUUCUUCU
rnacentral:lncRNA from 1 species